GCGUCACCCGCGCGGGAGAGGAUGCGAGGGUCCAAGGGGGUGCGAGGCGAGGGGGUGCCCAGACGCAAAAAGAUGAGGAAAUAACUCUUGUGCUGCCAAACUGAGGUUCAGGUGUGAGGCCGUCAGAGCAGGAAGCCUGUGAAAACGGUCAACAGUACCUACGUGGCAUAGGUGACCAUCAGCACUAGUAGCAACGUGCCGAAGGAUUAAAAGCUGCACGAAGCAGGGUGACAGAGCUGAAAGGUCGCAUGGAAUCGGGUUGGAGGCAGCCAUAUUGGUCCAUGCACAAGAUGAGUGACUGUGACAAUUCUGUGGUGUAUUCAGAUGCCUUUUACAGUGAGGAAGAGGAGGCUUAGAGAAGUGAAUGACUAACACAGGGCAAAGCUGAGAAUCAGUGGUCUCCUGGCUCCACGUUUGGGGGUCCACUACCCCACUACUCUCUGUGGAACCUCAAUCCCUCAGUUAUGGAAGAAUCAUGUCAACCAGGUACAGGGAGCCUACAUUCACUGAGCACCAACGUGAACCAAGCUUCUUGGCACCUGUAAUGAAUUGUCCCCUCACAAGAACAUGGGGAACUAGUCUUACGGAACUUAUGUUAUAGCAUGCAAUGACCCAACCAAGGAAAUACACUGGGAGUAAUGAGGAGCGUUAGAAUUAAGCUCCAUUUCUGGAUGGCUUGGACGUUCUGCAUGAGCGAUGUGCCUGAGGAAGCCCCUUGCAGUCCGUUCCCAAUGGUUUCGACGUCUGCAAAUGGGCAUGUGGAAAGGGGCAGCCCUGGGAAAUGUGUCUUACUCGCCAGCUGGAGGCCCCGCCUCGCCAUGGGGCUUCCUGCCGCAUGGGCUGCUUCCAGGGAAGCCUUCGAGGG